rnacentral:rRNA from 1 species
UACAGAGGGUGCAAGCGUUAAUCGGAAUUACUGGGCGUAAAGCGUGCGUAGACGGUUGCGUAAGUCAGAUGUGGAAAGCCCCGGGCUCAACCUGGGAAUUGCAUUUGAGACUGCGUAGCUAGGGUGCGGAAGAGGGAAGCGGAAUUUCCGGUGUAGCGGUGAAAUGCGUAGAUAUCGGAAGGAACACCAGUGGCGAAGGCGGCUUCCUGGUCCAGCACCGACGUUCAGGCACGAAAGCGUGGGGAGCAAACAGG